rnacentral:lncRNA from 1 species
UUCCAUGGUUAAUACAACAUCUUGUUUGUUGAAAUGUACUCAAGCAUUUUUCUAUUUAAGACUGUAUGCUUAAUUUCAAUUUUAAAUUUUAAGAUAUCAUUUUUAUUCACUCAAAUUCAGUUUUUUUCCAGUUUUAAUUCAUAAAUCUCUAAUAGAACAUACAACUUAUAUUUGACUAAUGUGGAAUAUAAGCAUGUUAUUCCUACAUUUUUACAAACAAGGGAAAAGGAGCCACUCCUUUAAAUUGGUUACCUUCUACAAAAAGAUGACCCUUUAUUAUUAUUAUUAUCAGAAUGCAAACUUUAACUAUGAAAUCAAAAACAGGGCAAGCAACUAAAGAUAUUGGAAUGCCCACUUGCAAUGAAAACUCACCAUAACAGAUUCACAACAUUCUGAUGCCAAGCCUUGCUCAAAGAUAUCGGUUUUUGAUGUAUCAUUUUUGCUUGAGGGUAAUGCUUCCUAUAUUAUUAGCUACCCAACUUAAACCAUUAUUCCUCAUAUCCACCAUGUAAGAGUGUAUGGGGAGGCACCUGAGGUCUAGUGUAGCACCUGAAAAGAAAAAUACUAAAAAAAAUGAGAAGUCCCGUAUUUAUUGAUAUAUAGAGCUUGAGUUUGAAAUUUCCAUCUCCUAAAUUAACAUCUUCUCUCUAGCUGACCUCAUCAAAAAUUAGAACCACGAGGGUGCAUGAAAACAUUGUUGCAACAUUCAGACAAAAAAUAGAAGGCACACGGCGCACCACUCCCCUUAAGUCAACAGAGAUCAUUAUAAGGAGGAAGAACCCUUAGUUUAUAUCAAUUUCUAACAAGUAUUAGUGAAGGCCAAAAAUUAAAAGCAAAGACAACAUUCAUUUGGGAUUGUUUAUGUAUGAAUAAUAUGGAUAAUGUGUUGCUCAUCUAGCAUAAUUAAAAGGUAAACAUUUAUGAUGCAAGAUCAAGAUUUUUAGUAGCUUGAAACAUUUGUUAGUUGAGCAACUUCAUUUUAUUAUAUGCUACAGUUAUUUACAUUUCAUCAGCGUAGUGCAAAAAUAUAGUAACAAAACAAGGUGAUGAAGAAUGGAAAGAACCCAACUCACUGAGUUCAACCCUAAUUGGUAACACGAAGAAGAAUAAAAAGGAAUAAAAGGUAAAUAAUUUAUCAGUUCUCGGGAUUGUUUUAAAGUGAUUUUAUUGGCUAUCAAUCCUAGACAGAUAUGGAAUAAUUAAGAAAUAUACACAAAUUUAGUGAACACCAUUAAUAGGGUAGAUUAAACAAAGCAAACAAAAGGCAAAGUCAUCCAAAUAACUUCGGAAUGACUUCAAUUUAAUCCUGUCAAUGAACACUUCUUUCUUCAAUAUAAAACCCAAAGUACAAUAGUUUGCUCACCAGAAACAAUAAAAUUAUGAAUUGGUCAAUUCUGACCAAUCAAUUCAAUGGAAACAAUUAACACAUUAACUCUUCAACUGCUAGUUGUUAUACUCUGUCAUGGUGCUAAAUCUCUUUGAGGUAUUUUGUCAAACAUGUCAAGAACAAAAACCAAUUUCACACUGCACAACCCUCUGUCGUGGUGCUAACUCUCUGAGGUAUUUUGUCAAACAUAACAAGAACAAAAAACAAAUUCACAGUGCACAACCCUCUGUCAUGGUGCUAAAUCUCUUUGAGGUAUUUUGUCAAACAUCUCAACAAAAACCAAAUUCACACUACACAACCCCACGAGUGCAAGAGACAAGCAAAAAGUUGAAAACUACCGGCUGUCAGAAAAAAACAGAAAAAGACACAAACACUGAAAUAAUCUGAUAACGAGAAAAUCAAAAACAAAACAAAGACUGAGCAAUUGCUGCGAUUACGUACUGGUCGCUACAACGUUUGUAUGGGAAGAGGAGAGAGGAUACGGAAGAUGAUGAUGCAGGAACAAGGUUUUCAACAGGGCUCACAGGGAAUGAAUCGAUGUUAUUGUUAGUUUGUGUGACGGAAUCUGAAACUCGAAGCUUUAGGAAACUUCGGCUGUGAACGAUGGUUGGCGUUGAUUGACAUAAUAUGUGAUUUGUUACGUUUAGGAGGGGGGUUUGGGUCACCGCAGUGACCUCAAGGACACUACAACCUGUACCUUAACGUGAUCGUUAUUUUAGGGCACUACAACCUGUACCUUAGGCUCAUUUUAAUUAUUUAAACGAAAAAUAUUGUAAUUGUUGAGUUGACCGUGUAUGAAAAAAAAAGAAAUGAUAGGUACACCUACACACUUGUUGAUGUGGCAUUGACGUCAUAUGUGGGACCCACCCACUUAACCCAAUUAAAAAAAAAAUUCUAAAAAUGCUGAAACUGAGUGUUGUUUUUUUUACCUUGUGCUUGUGUGCGCUUCUUCCUGAAUUUGUUCAAUAGCCUAGACUCUCUCUCUAGUUUUAACGCGGUUGACAGAGACACAGCUCUCACAUUGAAUUUGUGCUCUUUUCUUUUGCUUCUCUUCUACAAAUUAAAUCUAUUAAAAUCAAUAGUCAAAUAAAAAUUCGAAGAAAAUUCCUCAAA